UUGGCGGACGGGUGAGAAACGCGUAGAUAACCUGUCCUGGUGUCUGGAAUAAUAUCUCGAAAGGGGUGCUAAUACCGGAUAUUCUUGCUUUCUAUAAGGUAUGCAAGGAAAGGUGGCCUCUGGAACAAGCUACUGCACGAGGAGGGGUCUGCGUACCAUUAGCUAGUAGGUGGGGUAAUGGCCUACCUAGGCGACGAUGGUUAGCGGGUCUGAGAGGAUGAUCCGCCACACUGGUACUGGAACACGGACCAGACUCCUACGGGAGGCAGCAGUGGGGAAUAUUGCGCAAUGGGCGAAAGCCUGACGCAGCAACGCCGUGUGAGGGAUGAAGGCUUUCGGGUCGUAAACCUCUGUCGGAAGGGAAGAACGGGUGGUGGUCUAAUAGGCCUCCAUUUUGACGGUACCUUUAGAGGAAGCACCGGCUAACUCCGUGCCAGCAGCCGCGGUAAU
rnacentral:rRNA from 1 species